rnacentral:rRNA from 1 species
GACGAACGCUGGCGGCGCGCCUAACACAUGCAAGUCGAACGAGCGAGAGAGAGCUUGCUUUCUCGAGCGAGUGGCGAACGGGUGAGUAACGCGUGAGGAACCUGCCUCAAAGAGGGGGACAACAGUUGGAAACGGCUGCUAAUACCGCAUAAUGCAUCAAUUUCGCAUGUUAUUGAUGCCAAAGGAGCAAUCCGCCUUUAGAUGAGCUCGCGUCUGAUUAGCUAGUUGGCGGGGUAACGGCCCACCAAGGCGACGAUCAGUAGCCGGACUGAGAGGUUGAACGGCCACAUUGGGACUGAGACACGGCCCAG